UUGUGAGUAGGAAAAAGGCUAGCAAUAUGGGAAAACGAAAGAUUCCACCAAAUGUUACAUACGGUGUCAACUGUCAUUGGUGUUACAAAUAAGAGGAUCCUAAGUGGGUCAAGGUCCACCUUAUCAGGUUCCUUAAAACCUGACCUGGUUUGAAGCCCUCUCCGUGCUUCAAGGGGUUGGAAGUUAUCUGCCUUCCAACGCAUAGCACCCUACCACGCAUCAGCGUCCGGUCCUGCGCAUUGGCGAGUUGCUUUGCACCACUUGCACCUGCACCAGUAUGGGCUCACAGUACUGGCUUUGUGCAUGAUGCGUCACCAUCAGAUUCCUUAAUAAUAAAAACAGGAAAACUGCAGCCGUUUUCCUUCACGCCCGUGUUUCGCGUGACGCGCGUCGCCAUACGAAAUGAAAAUCGUACGGCGUGGUACCAAGUAAUAGCUGAAAAACUACUCCCACCUCCCUCGCGACUGUCCGCUACAGCCUCUCGCCAUACCGUCGUCGGCGCUCGAGGGAUCGAGCCCUCCAUCGCACGUCGCAUGCACAUCCCAGGUGUCGGUGGCGACGGUGAGGAGGAGCAAGAUGAUGAGGAUUGAAGAGUACCUGCUGGGGGCGGUGGCCUAGAUCUGCAGCUGACGGGAGACGGCCGCAUGAACAACAGUAGCGUCGGCUGCUGUGACGGCGUCGACGAAGAGCAAUAGAACAUCAGAAUGAUAAAAAACAAGGAGUCCGCGUUCUGCUGCUCUGGGGCAAGGAAGAGGGUACUACGAGCACUGCUUAUACCUGACUACGGGAGAUGACUAAGCCUAGGGCAUACUUUUCCGAUUCUCGUCUCAUGCUUUUGGUGAGUGGACAUCCUAAUGUUGGCACAGUGUCAUCAAACCCCGCAGGUGUUGUGGGUACUAGAUAAAUAAAUGCUUCCACAAAAAAUUAUCACUUCGGUGAAUGCUACUUGGAGUUAUUUGGGGCAUGUGUGCCUCCCUUGUUGUAAUAACUCUAUAUACUCUGAUUUAUGUUAAAAACUCUGUGGAAUGUUGUAACACUUGAUGCAGCGAUUGUUAGUUCAUUACGAUCUUGGUUGCGAGGGA